GCCUUGAUGGCGGAAUUGGUAGACGCGCUGGAUUCAAAAUCCAGUUCUUUCACGAGAGUGCGGGUUCGAUUCCCGCUCAAGGUA
rnacentral:tRNA from 1 species